rnacentral:rRNA from 1 species
AACGCUAGCUACAGGCUUAACACAUGCAAGUCGAGGGGCAGCACAAGGCAGCAAUGCUGAGGUGGCGACCGGCGCACGGGUGCGUAACGCGUAUCCAACCUUCCCGUUACUCAUGGAUAGCCUUCCGAAAGGGAGAUUAAUACAUGAUGGUGUUGAAAUUCCGCAUGUUAUUUCAACUAAAGAUUUAUCGGUGACGGAUGGGGAUGCGUUCCAUUAGCUUGUUGGCGGGGUAACGGCCCACCAAGGCUUCGAUGGAUAGGGGUUCUGAGAGGAAGGUCCCCCACACUGGAACUGAGACACGGUCCAGACUCCUACGGGAGGCAGCAGUGAGGAAUAUUGGUCAAUGGCCGGAAGGCUGAACCAGCCAAGUAGCGUGAAGGAUGAAGGUUCUAUGGAUUGUAAACUUCUUUUAUGAGGGAAUAAAACCUCCCACGUGUGGGAGCUUGUAUGUACCUUAUGAAUAAGCAUCGGCUAACUCCGUGCCAGCAGCCGCGGUAAUACGGAGGAUGCGAGCGUUAUCCGGAUUUAUUGGGUUUAAAGGGAGCGUAGACGGGAGAUUAAGUCAGCUGUGAAAGUUUGAGGCCCAACCUUAAAAUUGCAGUUGAUACUGGUUUUCUUGAGUGCGGUUGAGGUGUAUGGAAUUCGUGGUGUAGCGGUGAAAUGCUUAGAUAUCACGAAGAACUCCGAUUG